CCGAACCGACUAAUGUUGAAAAAUUAGCGGAUGACCUGUGGCUGGGGGUGAAAGGCCAAUCAAACCGGGAGAUAGCUGGUUCUCCCCGAAAGCUAUUUAGGUAGCGCCUCGUGAAUUCAUCUCCGGGGGUAGAGCACUGUUUCGGCUAGGGGGCCAUCCCGGCUUACCAACCCGAUGCAAACUGCGAAUACCGGAGAAUGUUAUCACGGGAGACACACGGCGGGUGCUAACGUCCGUCGUGAAGAGGGAAACAACCCAGACCGCCAGCUAAGGUCCCAAAGUCAUGGUUAAGUGGGAAACGAUGUGGGAAGGCCCAGACAGCCAGGAUGUUGGCUUAGAAGCAGCCAUCAUUUAAAGAAAGCGUAAUAGCUCACUGGUCGAGUCGGCCUGCGCGGAAGAUGUAACGGGGCUAAACCAUGCACCGAAGCUGCGGCAGCGACACUGUGUGUUGUUGGGUAGGGGAGCGUUCUGUAAGCCUGUGAAGGUGUGUCGUGAGGCAUGCUGGAGGUAUCAGAAGUGCGAAUGCUGACAUAAGUAACGAUAAAGCGGGUGAAAAGCCCGCUCGCCGGAAGACCAAGGGUUCCUGUCCAACGUUAAUCGGGGCAGGGUGAGUCGACCCCUAAGGCGAGGCCGAAAGGCGUAGUCGAUGGGAAACGGGUUAAUAUUCCCGUACUUGGUGUUACUGCGAAGGGGGGACGGAGAAGGCUAUGUUGGCCGGGCGACGGUUGUCCCGGUUUAAGCGUGUAGGCUGGUUUUCCAGGCAAAUCCGGAAAAUCAAGGCUGAGGCGUGAUGACGAGGCACUACGGUGCUGAAGCAACAAAUGCCCUGCUUCCAGGAAAAGCCUCUAAGCAUCAGGUAACAUCAAAUCGUACCCCAAACCGACACAGGUGGUCAGGUAGAGAAUACCAAGGCGCUUGAGAGAACUCGGGUGAAGGAACUAGGCAAAAUGGUGCCGUAACUUCGGGAGAAGGCACGCUGACACGUAGGUGAAGUGAUUUACUCAUGGAGCUGAAGUCAGUCGAAGAUACCAGCUGGCUGCAACUGUUUAUUAAAAACACAGCACUGUGCAAACACGAAAGUGGACGUAUACGGUGUGACGCCUGCCCGGUGCCGGAAGGUUAAUUGAUGGGGUCAGCGCAAGCGAAGCUCCUGAUCGAAGCCCCGGUAAACGGCGGCCGUAACUAUAACGGUCCUAAGGUAGCGAAAUUCCUUGUCGGGUAAGUUCCGACCUGCACGAAUGGCGUAAUGAUGGCCAGGCUGUCUCCACCCGAGACUCAGUGAAAUUGAACUCGCUGUGAAGAUGCAGUGUACCCGCGGCAAGACGGAAAGACCCCGUGAACCUUUACUAUAGCUUGACACUGAACAUUGAGCCUUGAUGUGUAGGAUAGGUGGGAGGCUUUGAAGUGUGGACGCCAGUCUGCAUGGAGCCGACCUUGAAAUACCACCCUUUAAUGUUUGAUGUUCUAACGUGGACCCGUUACCCGGGUUGCGGACAGUGUCUGGUGGGUAGUUUGACUGGGGCGGUCUCCUCCUAAAGAGUAACGGAGGAGCACGAAGGUUGGCUAAUCCUGGUCGGACAUCAGGAGGUUAGUGCAAUGGCAUAAGCCAGCUUGACUGCGAGCGUGACGGCGCGAGCAGGUGCGAAAGCAGGUCAUAGUGAUCCGGUGGUUCUGAAUGGAAGGGCCAUCGCUCAACGGAUAAAAGGUACUCCGGGGAUAACAGGCUGAUACCGCCCAAGAGUUCAUAUCGACGGCGGUGUUUGGCACCUCGAUGUCGGCUCAUCACAUCCUGGGGCUGAAGUAGGUCCCAAGGGUAUGGCUGUUCGCCAUUUAAAGUGGUACGCGAGCUGGGUUUAGAACGUCGUGAGACAGUUCGGUCCCUAUCUGCCGUGGGCGCUGGAGAACUGAGGGGGGCUGCUCCUAGUACGAGAGGACCGGAGUGGACGCAUCACUGGUGUUCGGGUUGUCAUGCCAAUGGCACUGCCCGGUAGCUAAAUGCGGAAGAGAUAAGUGCUGAAAGCAUCUAAGCACGAAACUUGCCCCGAGAUGAGUUCUCCCUGAGACUUAAAGUCUCCUGAAGGAACGUUGAAGACGACGACGUUGAUAGGCCGGGUGUGUAAGCGCAGCGAUGCGUU
rnacentral:rRNA from 1 species